GAGAAGUUGAUACAGACCUGCUAACUCUUUAAUUCUGGUAUUGAAUUACCAGCCUUCUCU
rnacentral:tRNA from 1 species